AAGAUAAAAUAAAUAGACUUCUAAUCUAUGUAAAAGUAUAAACUUAUAUCUUU
rnacentral:tRNA from 1 species